rnacentral:lncRNA from 1 species
CAGAAUUCCCUUGCCUAUAGGUUUCGAGUUAGAGGGAUCCACCAGAGAAAUUUCUGUGACAGCUUUAGAGGGCAGAAAUAAAACAUCGGGCAUUUUGUUACCUACACACGUCACUGUUUGUCUGCUGACUCAUCUUGUUGGAUCUGUAAUUGCUUGCUCUACCGUCCCCUGAACAUUAUAUUAGCUUCUAGGAUACAUGGGCCAGAAGCGAUCAAGAAGAGUUUUGGCUUCUGCAGGAUACCAUAUCAUCAAAGUUAGACGCAACAAGAACUGACAAGGAUUUCUUUCUGUGGUUGCAGGCCUCAGCUCAUUUGUGGGGUUCAGCUUCUUUUUGCUCUAUCCCACUUUACAUCCAUUUUCCCUUCCCAUCUGCCUGCCCUGUGGAUAUCAAGCUCCAGCAUAAAACCUGAGGACAACAGCUUCACAGAGAUUGCUUAACCAGCUCCAACUGUGGAAAUAGCAUGUAGCAGAUGUGAUAAUGCAUUACUUCUGAGGAUGGUUCAGAAAACAUCAAGCAGCUUCUGACUGGUUCCCUGGGCAUGCUACCUCUGGAGUAUCCAAUUGCUAUGUAAGAAGUGUAACUACCAAGAGGCCUUCAUGUCUCAAUCAGGGGAUAUGGUAGAAUCCCAAGCUGACCUCCAGGCAGGAAACCAACAGUACCUGCCAGUCUUGCAAGGGAGCUAUCUUGGAUGCCCAUUCCACAAAGCUUGCUGAUGAUUGUAGCCCAGUGGACAUCUGACAGCAACUUUACAAAAGGUUGUAAAUAAAGACUGUCCUACCAAGCACUCUUCAAAUUCCUGCUAUGACUGCAAUGUCAUGAUUAAAGUAAAAUGGUUAUUUCAAGUGACUAAGUUUUGGGAUAAUUUGUUAUAUAGCAAUAAUAAGUAGAAUGAUUUUUAGAUAAAGAAUAUAGUGACAAAUGAAUGGAAGACUUAAAAGUAAGGCCUGAAAUUAUACUACUACUAGAAGAAAACACAGG